UACGUAGGGUCCGAGCGUUGUCCGGAAUUACUAGGCGUAAAGAGCUCGUAGGUGGUUUGUCGCGUUGUUCGUGAAAACUCACAGCUCAACUGUGGGCGUGCGGGCGAUACGGGCAGACUAGAGUACUGCAGGGGAGACUGGAAUUCCUGGUGUAGCGGUGGAAUGCGCAGAUAUCAGGAGGAACACCGGUGGCGAAGGCGGGUCUCUGGGCAGUAACUGACGCUGAGGAGCGAAAGCGUGGGGAGCGAACAGG
rnacentral:rRNA from 1 species